GACGAACGCUGGCGGCGUGCCUAAUACAUGCAAGUGGGACGCAAGGGAACACACUGUGCUUGCACACCGUGUUUUCUUGAGUCGCGAACGGGUGAGUAACGCGUAGGUAACCUGCCUAUUAGCGGGGGAUAACUAUUGGAAACGAUAGCUAAUACCGCAUAAUAUUAAUUAUUGCAUGAUAAUUGAUUGAAAGAUGCAAGCGCAUCACUAGUAGAUGGACCUGCGUUGUAUUAGCUAGUUGGUAAGGUAAGAGCUUACCAAGGCGACGAUACAUAGCCGACCUGAGAGGGUGAUCGGCCACACUGGGACUGAGACACGGCCCAGACUCCUACGGGAGGCAGCAGUAGGGAAUCUUCGGCAAUGGACGAAAGUCUGACCGAGCAACGCCGCGUGAGUGAAGAAGGUUUUCGGAUCGUAAAGCUCUGUUGUAAGUCAAGAACGUGUGUGAGAGUGGAAAGUUCACACAGUGACGGUAGCU
rnacentral:rRNA from 1 species